AUGUUUAUUUAUAUGAGAAUGUCAUAAGAAAACUCUUCAUUUUUGUGUAACCAAAAUAUGGGAAAAAUAAAUGUGUAGAGAUAAAUUCUGUAACUUUAUACUCUUUAGGUUAAAAGAAAAUGAGUAUUCUAAAAUUGAAGGUCUGCUGAUCGUUAAGAGAGUGAAUGUCAGACUCUUACUUCCCUGGGAGCUCUGGAGAUAUCCACGAAAUGAAACAUGCCUUCCAUCACCACUGACUUUCACUAUUCAUGGCACUGUUAAGCAAGCCUUGUACAGCAAGCAAGUAAGCAGCAAUCCUCCGUGGCCUCUGCAUCAGUUCCCGUCUCCAGUUUCCAAUCUCGAGGUCCUGUUCUGGCUUCCCUCCAUGAUGGAUUCUAAGCAUUAAGAUAAAAUAAACCCUUUCUGCUCCAA